AUGGUCGGCCAAACUAGAAGAGAAGAGAAACCAAGGAAGAACAAACCCUAGGUGGGAAAAAUCAAAGAGAAAGUGUUGGAAUUCAAGGAUUUGAUCAAGCAAAGGUGGUGAGCAAAUUACACUGGUAAAAGUACAAAGAUUGUACUUGAAGACUGGGGUUAGGAGUACAUCGACUCCUAGAACUGAUCGGGAAAUUCCAUAUUUAGCUGACUUUGACAAGGACUU